GCCAAGUGAUGCCUAAGCGAUUAGUCUUUCCGAACGCCUUCUGGGCAUGCGGAAAAACAUGCAAUUAUCUACGAGCCUUCUGAUGGC
rnacentral:snoRNA from 1 species